GAGGAGUUGGAAGGAGGUUGGGGGGCUGGGGAGGGGUUGGGAGGGUCCAGAAGGAAGUUGGAGGAGAUGGGGAGGGGUUGAUAGAGGCUGGUAAGGGGUUGGGGGCACUCUGAGGGUUCACAAUAUCCACAGAGGAUCACACUUAUUCAGCACUUCAUUUGUGCUGGGCAGUGGGCCAAGGAUUUGAUAUUAACUCAUUUAUUUUUCGAUCUGAUCCUAGGACACAAUUGUUUUCCCUUUAUAGACAAGAAAACGGUGGCAUUGAGCGGUUAAGUGGGUGACCUCCUUCAUGGGAGGUUCCCAGAGGCAGGAAGUCUGUGGGUUUGGGAGAGUGGCAGGGGGUGACACACCUGCACCUUGGUUCUGAGGCUCCUUUGGCCUGGUAGCUCCCACAAGGGGAUCCGCUGAGCAUGGACUCUGGGAGCCUCCCAUGUGGGACAUUGGCGCCGAGGCCCCCAGUCUUCUCCUGGCAGGGGCUCAGAUAAUGGGUUCAUUGGCCUGUCCAGUGAGAGCUGGGAACCAAAGGGCUCUGUGGACAUGCUCUGUGCUACCCAUAAACCCUUGCCUCCCUCCACUCAACCCUGAAAAAAUUCUUCCCAAGCAAAGAGCUCUGGUGGGUGGUGGCUUGACUUGCAUUUAAUUUCACAUAUAAUAAGUAAAGCAAGGAUUGUGCUAGAAUAAAACUCAUGCAAUGUCUGGGGCCACAGGAUUCUGGUAAGUUCGCUCCUGGGCCUCUCCUCCCCCACUGACCGUGUUCCAGGUCGCACCGUCCCUGGGCGAGCUCCUGGAGCUCCAUCCCAGCCUCUACCUGCUGCUGCCCCAGCUGCCUUCACUCCCCCAACAGUUCAAGUGGCCUCUUGCCUCAGCCUGUCUGAAUUGGGUUUGUUUAAGGAGAUUAAGAACCAGACUUGGCUUAACUCAGGCUGGCUCCAAGUUGUUAUUACCCCGCAGUCCCAAGCUUUAAGCCAGCCUGAACACAUUCCUGCAAGCCGCCAUGGGGAGAGAGCCACCCCUCCUGUAAAAACAGCCCUGUCACACUUCAUGGUCAGAGUUGUGGUUGUCAUUCUCCGUGUGACCUGCUAUCGUUGGCACCUGGUGCAUGGACCAGAGAAUGAGCAGGCUCUGCAGAGAAGAGAGCCUAGAUCCUGGGACCAGAAGACCUUGGCAUAACAGCCCAUUCUCAGGGCUGAUGUCUGCCAUAGGUCUGUGGAUUUCAGAUGCUCUUUUGUUCCCUUCAAAUUUUAAUGUAUUUGAAAGCAAAAGUCAUGUUAUAACAGAGCUGUACACUUAAUGAAGUGCAUUUUUUUGUUGGUCCCUAUGAAGCAGUUAUGAAAUCAAGGGUGAGUACCACAAUCAAUGGCAUUUGGGACUCGAGGAAAUUCUAUUUGUGGCCCUGGGUAAACUCUUUGCUUUUCUGUGUCCCAAUUCCCUUAUCAAUAAAAGGGUAGGGUUGUUGUAAAUAUUGGAGAUGUAUGUAAUGGCCGUAGUACAGUGACUUGUAGCUUUAAUUCAUCAAUAGAAAAUCUAUUCUGCAUUUCAUAAAAUAUGUGUCAGAUUAGUGUUUUGCUAGAAUAAUCCAUAUACUUGCAUGGCCAGUUAUAUAUUUGACCACUCAAUUUUAGAGAGCAAAUGAGAGAGAAGAUUUUGAGGGCUCUGUCUUCUUUACAUUUUAAUUAAUUCUGUCUAAAACCUCUUGCUCACAGCUGUGAGUCACCGGCAUAGCCAGCGGAGGGAGGCACCAUCUAACCCAGCACAAGGGUGCGCUCUUAAAGCUCAAUUUCCUUCACUCCUCCAUUUUCUAA
ensembl:lncRNA